CGGGGUGCAGCAGGCGCGAAAACUUUGCAAUACACGAAAGUGUGACAGGGUCAUCCCGAGUGCCGACCGCUGAGGUUGGCUUUUACCCAGUCUAGAAAGCUGGGGGAAUAAGGAGAGGGCAAGUCUGGUGUCAGCCGCCGCGGUAAUACCAGCUCUCCGAGUGGUGUGGACGUUUAUUGGGCCUAAAGCAUCCGUAGCUGGCUGAACAAGUCCCCUGUUAAACCCACCGAUUUAAUCGUUGGUCUGCGGGGGAUACUGCUCGGCUAGGGGACGAGAGAGGCAGGCGGUAUUCUCGGGGUAGGGGUGAAAUCCUAUAAUCCCGGGAAGACCACCAGUGGCGAAGGCUGCCUGCUAGAGCGCGCCCGACGGUGAGGGAUGAAAGCUGGGGGAGCGAACCGGAUUAGAUACCCGGGUAGUCCCAGUUGUAAACGAUGCAGACUAGGUGUUUGGACGGCCACGUGCCGUUCUAGUGCCGCAGGGAAGCUGUUAAGUCUGCCGCCUGGGGAGUACGAUCGCAAGAUUGAAACUUAAAGGAAUUGGCGGGGGAGCAC
rnacentral:rRNA from 1 species